UGGGGGAUAUUGCACAAUGGGCGAAAGCCUGAUGCAGCGACGCCGCGUGGGGGAUGAAGGCCUUCGGGUUGUAAACUUCUUUUGCUCUGAACAAGGCAUGCCUUUGGGGUGUGUUGAGUGUAGGGGUUGAUUAGCGCCGGCUAACUACGUGCCAGCAGCCGCGGUAAUACGUAGGGCGCGAGCGUUGUCCGGAAUUAUUGGGCGUAAAGGGCUUGUAGGUGGCUGGUUGCGUCUGUCGUGAAAGCUCAUGGCUUAACUGUGGGUUUGCGGUGGGUGCGGGCUGGACUGAGGGCAGUAGGGGAGGCUGGGAUUCCUUGUGUGGAGGUGGAAUGCGCAGAUAACAGAAGGAAUACCGGUAGCGGAAGCGAGUCUCAGGGCUGUUACUGACGCUAAGGAGCGAAAGCGUGGGGAGCGAGCAGG
rnacentral:rRNA from 1 species